GUUGGUGCAAGUGUUCUGUUUCUGAUGUAUGGCUCACUUGACCAGGACUGUCACCUUUCCCAUACUAACAGUUGUCAGGAAAUUGCACCUGCCAAACAAAGUCUUAAACAGGGAACACACUUCCUAGGUUAUCAAGACUAGUUUGAGAAGUGUCUUAGACCAGUGGAAUUGGAGUUUCUGAUCAAACUCUGUAUGAAUUCUAAGCUUUCCAAACAAGAGCAGCUCACUCACUGAGGACCCAGCCCACAAUAAUCUAUGAUUGUGGUCAUUAUUGGUGUUCGGGCUUCCAGCCGCAGGUUUCUCCCUGGAGUCUGCUUUUAAGAUAGCAAAAGCUCUAGCGGGCAUUUGGUACCAGCCACUGCCCGCAGACUGGCACUCUGUGUAAAUCCCUUAGUCCUGCUGGAUCCCUCGAACAAAGCUAAUCUGCCAUCUGACACCUGGGCUUGUCACCUUUAAUUCCAGGCUUCUGAGCUGCUCUCUCCAGGGAAAUAAAAGGCUGGCGUGCAGUGGCGCGAUCUCGGCUCACUGCAAGCUCCGCCUCCCGGAUUCAUGCCAUUCUCCUGCCUCAGCCUCCCGAGUAGCUGGGACUACAGGCGCCUGCCACCCUUGUGAACUUGCUCCAGGACACAACUGACACACAGCCUUGCUUGGUGUAAAGAUUACGGCACAGAGACGGAGAGCCAGCCAUCAAACACUUAGUCUGAUUGCAAGCUGAAAAUGGCACAGUGGAAGACAAUUUUGCUGUUCCCCUCUUGGAGAGAGGAAAAAACCCAGGAGAUCUUAAAGUCGAGUAAUUAUUUCCAUCAGCAGGAAAUCAGAACUCUGUGUUUGAACUAAACAGAGAGGUCAAAAGUCCGUCUGACUCACCUGUGCUGAGUGACUUGAAUGCCAUCUAAUCUAACUUCAAGAUCAUCAGGAUACUUGCCAACAAGGUCACAGUGGACUCCAUGGAGCAACUGCCCUCAGGAGGCAACAGGUUCUUUUUGAGGGGAGUCUCUCUGAUGCUUGGAAUGAAUCCUGCUGAAUCAAUGCUGAUGCUUGGAGAUCUUCAAGUCUUUUCCCUUUUUCCCAUUGCUCAUGAUGUCUAUAUAACCUCCAAACAUGCAUCCCACUCCUCUGCCGAAAGACCAUUUUUUUAUAUCUUCAGUGAUGGUCUAGGCCAGGUUAAUUGACUUUUCUUUUUUCUUAAGCCAACUAAAGUCCUCACCACAAA
ensembl:lncRNA LINC01811 long intergenic non-protein coding RNA 1811